AUUGAACGCUGGCGGCAUGCUUUACACAUGCAUGUCGAACGGCAGCGCGGGGCAACCUGGCGGCGAGUGGCGAACGGGUGAGUAAUAUAUCGGAACGUACCCAGAAGUGGGGGAUAACGUAGCGAAAGGUACGCUAAUACCGCAUACGAUCUACGGAUGAAAGUGGGGGACCUUCGGGCCUCAUGCUUGUGGAGCGGGCGAUAUCUGAUUAGCUCGUUGGUAGGGUAAAGGCCUACCAAGGCGACAAUCAGUAGCUGGUCUGAGAGGACGAACAGCCACACUGGGACUGAGACACGGCCCAGACUCCUACGGGAGGCAGCAGUGGGGAAUUUUGGACAAUGGGCGCAAGCCUGAUCCAGCAAUGCCGCGUGAGUGAAGAAGGCCUUCGGGUUGUAAAGCUCUUUUGUCAGGGAAGAAACGGGAUUGGCUAAUAUCUAGUCCUAAUGACGGUACCUGAAGAAUAAGCACCGGCUAACUACGUGCCAGCCGCCGCAGUAACAC
rnacentral:rRNA from 1 species